rnacentral:rRNA from 1 species
CUGGCGGCAUGCUUAACACAUGCAAGUCGAACGCUAUUUUAUAGAGUGGCGCACGGGUGAGUAACGCGUGGGAAUCUGCCCAUCUGCCCGGGAUAACAGCUGGAAACGGCUGCUAAUACCGGAUACGCCCUGCGGGGGAAAGGUCCGCCGCAGAUGGAGGAGCCCGCGUCUGAUUAGCUUGUUGGUAGGGUAAUGGCCUACCAAGGCUACGAUCAGUAGCUGGUCUGAGAGGAUGAUCAGCCACACUGGGACUGAGACACGGCCCAGACUCCUACGGGAGGCAGCAGUGGGGAAUAUUGGACAAUGGGGGCAACCCUGAUCCAGCAAUGCCGCGUGUGUGAUGAAGGCCUUAGGGUUGUAAAGCACUUUCACUGGUGAAGAUGAUGACGGUAACCAGAGAAGAAGCCCCG